rnacentral:rRNA from 1 species
GAUGAACACUGACAGAAUGCUUAACACAUGCAAGUCAUUGGCGAAGCUGCGCUUGCGCAGUCUAGCCAAGGCGGACGGGUGAGUAACGCGUAAGGAACUUGCCCUGCAGACAGGGAUAACAGACGGAAACGACUGAUAACACCUGGUAUUGUCAGGCUGGCGCAUGCCGGCCUGAUGAAAGGAGACGCUGCAGGAGAGCCUUGCGUCCUAUUUGCUAGUUGGUGGGGUAACGGCCCACCAAGGCGAUGAUAGGUAGCCGGCCUGAGAGGGUGAACGGCCAAAAGGGGAAUGAGAUACGGCACUUACUACUACGGGGGGAAGCAGUGGGGAAUAUUGGACAAACGGGGCAACCCUGAUCCAGCAAUUCUGUGUGCAAGAAGAAGGUUUUCGGAUUGUAAAGUGCUUUCAGCAGGGAAGAAGAAAGUGACGGUACCUGCAGAAGAAGCGACGGCUAAAUACGUG